UAGCUGUUUUAGUCUGGAUAUAUAAAAGCAGCAACGAGUCCUGUGCACCUUAUAGACUAACAGACGUAUUGGAGUAUGAGCUUUCGUGGGUGAAUACCCACUUCGUCGG